rnacentral:rRNA from 1 species
CUUGGUCAUUUAGAGGAAGUAAAAGUCGUAACAAGGUUUCCGUAGGUGAACCUGCGGAAGGAUCAUUAUUGAAAUAAACCUGAUGGGUUGUUGCUGGCUCUCUAGGGAGCAUGUGCACACCUUGUCAUCUUUAUAUCUCCACCUGUGCACCUUUUGUAGACAUCUUUCCAGGUGUCUAUGUUGAUUCUUCAUUUACCCCAAUGUAUGUCAAUAGAAUGUUGUGUCCAUAAUAUAUACAACUUUCAGCAACGGAUCUCUUGGCUCUCGCAUCGAUGAAGAACGCAGCGAAAUGCGAUAAGUAAUGUGAAUUGCAGAAUUCAGUGAAUCAUCGAAUCUUUGAACGCACCUUGCGCUCCUUGGUAUUCCGAGGAGCAUGCCUGUUUGAGUGUCAUUAAAUUCUCAACUCUGAUCGAUUUGUUUCGACUUCGGAGCUUGGAUUUGGAGCGUGCUGGCGUCGGUCGGCUCCUCUUAAAUGCAUCAGCGGAAUCUAACGUUUCGGACGUCAGUGUGAUAAUCAUGUUGCGCUGUCUGUCUGAUCUGAAAGCCCGCUCACAAUGGUCUUCGGACAACUUCAUAUCAAAUUUGACCUCAAAUCAGGUAGGACUACCCGCUGAACUUAAGCAUAUCAAUAAGCGGAGGA